ACACAUACACACACACACACACACACAUUUUCUCAAGUUUUACAAACUUAAUCUAACCAUUGUAAUGGAAGGCGAAUGAUCACCUUUUAAGAAUUAGAAAGAAAACACAAACAUACACUUAUUUUAUGUUGAACAGUGUAUUGACUACUUUUUGCUAGGAUUGAGCUGUUUUGACUUCAAUAGAAUCCCAUCUGGGCUGCAUUAUGUAGAAGAAAAACACAAAUGCAUUCAUGACUAAGCAUUCGUAUUGAAGCAUCAAACAAGACUUCAC